CUACGGGCGGCUGCAGUAAGGAAUAUUGCGCAAUGGAGGCAACUCUGACGCAGCCAUGCCGCGUGCAGGAAGAAGGCCUUAUGGGUCGUAAGCUGCUUUUAUUUAGGAAUAAACCCCCGAACGUGUUCGGGGCUGAAGGUACUAAACGAAUAAGCACCGGCUAACUCCGUGCCAGCAGCCGCGGUAAUACGGAGGGUGCAAGCGUUAUCCGGAUUUAUUGGGUUUAAAGGGUGCGCAGGCGGGCUAUUAAGUCAGUGGUGAAAUCCCGGGGCUCAACUCCGGAACUGCCAUUGAUACUGAUAGUCUUGAGUUUGGUUGAAGUGGGCGGAAUGUAGCAUGUAGCGGUGAAAUGCAUAGAUAUGCUACAGAACACCAAUCGCGAAGGCAGCUCACUAAGCCAAAACUGACGCUCAUGCACGAAAGCGUGGGGAUCAAACAGGAUUAGAUACCCGAGUAGUC
rnacentral:rRNA from 1 species